GCCCCAGCAAAUAUCAGCUUCACAGCUUUCAGCUGGUGAGGUCUGUAGUCAGCUGGUUACAACUUCCAGCAGAGUGCCAUGGGGCAAUAAAGGACACAUGGAAAUGGGAUACUCACCCUGGGGAGAGUGUGGGGAAAGCCUUUUUGCACCCUAGUUAUCCUCCUCUGUUGCAUUGUGUGCCUGGCACAGGCCCUUCCCCAAAGGCAAGAAAACAUAAAACAUUUCAUGAGCUAGAAGAAUGGGGAAAGUUUAUGAAGAGCUGCUGGCACUAUAUUCACAAGCAGGCAGAGGGAACGGAGUGAUUUUUAUUUUCCACCACGCUUAGAUUAUUGUCAUAAAGCUCUCAGAGAUGCCUGGCACGAGGGGAUGUAACAGCAGGAAGACUGGAGAGCGUCACUACAGGGCGAGCAGCGUCUUGUGAGGUCUGAGAUAAACGGCUCCGGCAGAUCGUGUUCACAGGCAUCUGCAAGACUAAGGAGGUGUGCUGCUCUAUCUGCCUCUCUGCUCAAGGCCAUUUUGAGAUCCAUUUUGAAUUAUUGUUUGUGGAUUUAGAAGAGUUCCAGCAGUGAUUUCAGAGCAUGCUGUGGAUCUGAGGUACCUCCUACAAAAUGGAUUUGGCCUCCGUUCCUUCAUUCUGUUCCCUUGGUCAACUUCUCUGUGCCAGGGAAAGCAGUAACAGAGAAAGGAUGGAGAAUUCCUGCUGCAUGUCCCAAUUCAGAGUAAGAACGCAGCUCCUAAGAUCAGAGAACAUAACUUGCAGCUGAUUAACCAAUACACAAGCUCGAUAUACAAGCUCGGUGUGCAGUGAGCACUGGCUGCCUUUGGCGAAAUGAUGGGAAGGCAGCCAAAGACAAACAUGCUGGAUGUCCGCAGGCUGGAAGAAGAGUAGACAAGGGGAAUUGGAGUCAAAAGCAGUUCUAUGUCCUCUGGUUUGCUGUUGUGUUCAGAUCCCCCAGCCUGAGUGGGAUCUUUGACAUGCUCGUACUGCUGCCAGCUGCAUUCACAUCCAUGCACAUCCUGCAUACAGAUGGUCGGACUGAGCAUCCUGACUUUCUCCUCCAUCAAUUGAGGUGAUACAAUAAUCGUAUCAAGGGAUCUGUGAUGAAAUCUAUAAUGCACAUAGAUGAAAGGAGAGGAUCUGAGUAGGAAAAAUGCAGUCUUGUGCUCCGCGUAAAAGCGGUGCCCAUUGACACACUUACUUUGUAGAUCUGUGAUUGUGACUUCAUUAAUUUAAGCCUGUUUGAAGACAGCGGUGUUUUGCAGCUGACAGCAGCAAGGCCAGCGAGGAGCAAUCUAUUACAAAACAGGCUGUGUAGUUCACCGUGUAAUUGGGACUUGCUGCUGAGCUCCCUUCUUUGGAAGGGGAUUUCUAAAACAUUUCUUAUCACGAUUAAUAGGAGCCUGCCAAAAUGUGCCUCCUCUUCCCCUCCUACAACCCAUUCCAGUGGGAGAGCUCCCAUUUUUGCCAGCCGGUGCCAUCUGUAACCACCCCUGUGCUAACAAAAGCGUAUUCAAGCCAUAAAUUCCCAAUAAACUAAAUAUAGUCAGGGAGAGAAUUUGAAAUUCCUCUUACUGAGCAGAGAUAUUUUCUUAUAAAAGAGUUUUCUUGAAAUGAAACCCGACGUGAUCCAGCCUCCAGAAGAGAAGGCAAAUAUUUAUCACCAGAGGGGAAUGUGAGGAGAAGGAGGGCCCUCAUAGUAACUCAUCACGGGCUGUUCAGGGAGUCCAUUCAUUUCUCUGUAAUCAACACAACCUGUCAAAGAAUGUUUCUCUCUUGUCCUCUCUCCUUGUAAGUCCUGUUUCUUCGGGAGGAUCCUUAUGGCCUUUGAAAUGCUUUAAAAGGUCAGACUACACAGCGGGAGGAACUGCAGAGACGGGGCGGGGGAAAGCAGCAGAGGAAAAGGCCAUCAGUGGAAACCCACUGAGAGGAGAAUACUGGCUAGAUAAAUAAUAUCAUAUUAAGUAGAAUUCAAGAGCCAGGCCUGCCAUGCUCCAGUAACAGAGAGUGAAUAAUUACAGCAGAGGUUAGGAGGUGAAAGCCUGUCUCCUGUAGGGGAUGAGGAGAGGAUAAUAAGCUUAGCACGCUCACAAAGGCAGCCAAGGAAAUCUGACCCUUUAUCACACUGUUAUCUGUAGAGAAGUAGAUGAGAUUAGGCCCAUAAUGGGAUUGGUGCCACAUGAAGCUUUGCAUUUCUGACGUUGCAAGGAGGUUACUGACACCAAUCCCUGCUAAUUUAUUGAAUUGCUGCAAUAAAAAUGCCUUCUCUACUGAAAAUAGCAGAGAGUAACUGAAUAAACCUCUUGAGUAAAAGCGGAUUCAUUGCCUGAAGAGGAUUUGCAGGGCACAGCAGUUAUUGAGUUAGCAGAUUCAGAAGCAGCCAGCUGCCCUGGCGAGGGCUUGAACUGCAUAAUGAUGCUUUCUUGGGCCGUCCUGCCUCCUACCCACCGUGUGUGAGGAACCGGGCUCCUGCUCCCAUGUCAAAGAGCAGGGAAGUGACCUGCUCAACAGCCAGGCUUCGAGCAGAGGUCGGCUUCACCUUCGUUCUCGUGCCAGGCUAACGCAGGAGUCAGAGCAGGAGCAGGUCCUCGUGCUCCCUGCUGUCCUCUGGGGACUCUUCUCCUCCUCUGAGCUUUGCAACUACAUUUCAGGGGUGUUUUUUUUCCCCUUUGGAAAGAACUUCUUAUUAUUUUGGAUGACUGAUUUUAUUCUCCCCACAAUCUGUGAGCUUCUCAUUGUCUGUGUGGCCCAAACACAUUAGUAUCCCGGGAACUCCUGACAGCUAUUGACAGAAAAUAUUGUUUAAGUAGCGGCGACUGAUAAAGCACAGAUGAAAAUGGGUUGAAGUUGGCUGUAAACAAUUAUUGUGUGAAAAGCAUGUGACUACAGUAGCUCUUAGUGAGUCAGCUAAGACAAGCUAAAGAUGAAGAAAGUUGAGAAUACUGUGGGAAUGGUUUUUCAGAGAACAGUAGAUUUACAACCUCCUCCCCUCCCAAAAAAGAAAGCUGAAUUCUUUGAUACUUUGAACACUUCCAGAGACAAAAGCUAAGAUGGAAGAAAACAACAUCUUGAGAAAGUCAAAAUGCAGUGUUUCAUCAUUUUCAAGAUCAGAUGGACUACAAUCAAAGUGGUCAGACCAUAAUUUUGAAAUGGUUUUGUUGCCAAACUGCCCCAUUCUGUGAAAAAGACACAGGAAAAAAAAAAAAAAAAAAAAAAAGGUUUGAAAGGGUUAAAUUAGCUGAAAAUGAUACUAAAUGAAAGCUUUUGAGUUGAGCCAAAAUAACAUUUUUCAUCUUUUUUUUUUUUUUUUUUUUUUUUUCAGAAGGAAAUAAAAAUGUUUUGAUUCAGUGCAGGCUAAAUUUUUAUUAGCUUUUUCUAUUCAAGCAUCAAUCAAAAAAAAAAAAAAAAAAAAGCCCUCUUUUUUUCCCUUGUGCUAAUUCAGAGCACUCUUGGCAGGAGAGGGUACAUCCCCAAGAAGCAGCUUUUCAUUUGUGCUUCGCCGUGUCAUACCAAGAAUAAUUUUUCCACUUAACCAAACCAUAACUUGGUGUGUUUAGCAAAUUCCUCCCGAAGGAAACUGGGAUGGAGCAGGAGGCAGUGGGGGCCAGGAAAGAAGUGCUGUGACAGCGGUGUGGGAAAGCGAGGACCAGGAGAGCAGCUCGAGGUGUGUCAAGAUCUGCUCUGCAAAGACAUGCAGAGAUAGGAAGCAGGCAGGGCUGUUUCCCCCUCUUUCAUAUCAUGUUUGUUUUAACUCAUCAGCGUUUCUGUGCUAAUUUGGGGAUAUAGUUGUGGGAAACUUUCAGCCCCUUAAUCAUCCAGCUUGGAAAACGCCAGCGAGCAUGAUAAACAAACCCUUCAAGAUGACAAAUGGAGAUGGGCUUAUUCCUCGCAGAGGACUUUCUCUUUCGUCUUGCUGGGAAGAUGGGUGCACAAGUGGACGAACAAAACAGCCGUUCCCACAGGGGAAGACGCUGCGAGCACAGAGCUUAGCUCUUGCCUCCCAUGGGGGAGAGGUCUUUCUGCCUGUAGAACGAAACUUGUUUUAAAUGCCCCAAAUAUGACGCUGGGAAUAACUUAAACAAGAGUCUGAGAGCCACGGGACAGUGAGAAGCUGAGUCGUGUUACUCAGCCAAGUGACAAAUCUAGGGUGCAGAAGGUAGAGUGUACAGCACAGAGCUCAUCCUGUAGGACACAGACACUUUUUCUCCUGGAAACACUGGGUAUUUUACAGUGAUGAUAUCUCAGAAGAGUGCUUGACCCCCACCGUCAGCUCGUUAAAGAAGCAAUCUUCCCUGACACCAGCAACCGUUGGUAUGAAAUGUUAUGAAACUCUCACCCUUGCUCUUCUUAGUAACAGAGUUUUCCAAAACAACCUCAAACACAAUCUUUCUACCAGAAGAGGGUUCUAGUCUGCAAAAUAAUCCUGCAAUCACAUGGAAAUUUAACUCGCAGUCCAAAGCACCAAUUGGCCCUCCAGUACCUCAGGCUUAAUAGCAUCUUCCCUGCUGCAAGAGCCGAGACCAAGGGGCAGGACCAGGCUGGCAAUGUGGCCUCCACGGUGUAACCAGCCAGGCUGCAGUGCCCUUAUUCCCAGAGUCAGCAUCUCAGUGCUUGGAACCAGAGUGAAAGGUUACCAUUUUGAUCUGCUUGCUUCUUACAGGCAUUUUCCACUGGCAAAAAAAAAAAAAAAAAAGAAAAAAAAAAAAGAUGACGCACAGGGAAAAAAGCCACGAAGAAGGACCUCCUGUCCUCCAUCCCCUCCUCUCGUGUAGUCCCCUCCAUUUCUUUCUAGCCAUUUAAUUGGAAAGUAUAUUUGCUCGCCCUUGCUUUGUGACGCACUCCAGAUAUCAUGUUCCCUCCUGAUUGCUUCCACUUUGUUUGCCUAUAUAUUAAUUCUUACAGCUCGCUGCCUGGCUCUGCAGAGCCAGCCUCUGCCGGGAGGACAGCCCCUCUGCCAGCUCCAGGGCACGUACCGGGUGAGGCCAUCCGACUUUCUCACCACCCAGUGAAAGAACACCUUGUUUGGGAUGGCGGCUUGGAUUUUC